UAAUGUUACAUUAAAGAUAAAACAUUGUAUAAAUGAAAAAAGUGAAGUGUUAUUGGUACUCUAAAAAUCUCAUUUUACAUUCCUCAUAAGUGUAUUUUUUAUUCAAAAUAUAGAAAGUUUGAAGUGUAGAAUGAGAUUUUUAGAAUGCCAAUAACAACUCCUAGUGAAAAUUGAGAAGAAACUGAACAUUGUGAUACCUAACUAAUAAUUAUAACUGGCUAAAACCCCAGUUUGUUCUUUGAUCGUAAAUCGUCUGAAUUUCAUCGCACAAAAGGACGUCUGAAUUUCAUCGCAUAAAAGGACGAGCAAGUUUGGGUCUCUUUAAUGACCCCUCAACGAUGACGGUUUCCCCGAGAUUACAACAUAUUGUGGUAAUUAAAGAGAGGGGCCAGGAAAACUUGAGGGUCCAUGAAAGUGUCACAUCGUAUGGCGACAGCUGGGAUGCCAAACGUUUUAUCCCUCAUCUUUUCUUUUCUUUUCUUUUGAUGAGGAAGAGAAUGUCCACCUGUAGCUAAAGACCAGCAACUAUUUUGGCUUAUCGGUAUGCGUGCUGUGUUCCACGUAAAUGGAUAUCACCAAUAUCUGUUCGGAUGAACAAUUGAUCUUUUACUAUAUUGAUGAAAAUAAAUUAAUUUUUUGCAUGAUAGUGUGAGUUCGAAUUUCAUUAGUGGUUAAUUUAACAUUUAAUUUAACAAAAUCUAUCGUUUAACCAAAAAGAGAAAAAAAAUCUGUUAGGAUGGAUGCAAUUCUCCAAGGGGGUUGUAGCCGAUCUUUGAAUUUGAUAAUUUGAGUUUGAAAAAUGUCCUUCAACAAUAAUGUAUGGAAAAAGAAAAAUGAAAGCUCGUGCAUGAGUAUCUCUUUAAUUUUUAUACUUCGGAAAUCAAUCAACAUUAUUUAUUAUAAAGUUGAGGAGUAAAUUGACUAUAUGUUAGCUACAGUCACAGGUUUGACCUUUGAUUUUGCUUUAUUUAUAGCACUACCAUCUAAUUGAGGUUGGGUUCUGGUUUGGACCGGUCACAUUUUGUGUGGUGGGUUCAGUUCAUUUCUUGACAUAAGCCCAGCCCUUAGGGGGUGAAAAUGAUGAGGCUACCCCAUCAAGGGUUAAAAUCUGAUGGUCAAGAUGGUAA
rnacentral:lncRNA from 1 species